GUGCCUUUGAACCAGCCAUCCUCCCGCUUCUUGUGCACAUACACGACGUCUCCCUGCUUGAGCUCGAGCUCAUACUCGCUGUUCGGAGGGGAGCUGGUCUUCUUGUGCAGUGCCUGCUGGUUGCCUAAAACCUCACUCGGACACGAGCCAGACCUGCGGGUAGAAACCCAAAGUGAAUUAUAGCAAGCUUGUCGUACAGGGAAAGUGAUGUUGCAGUGAUCAAAGGAAUGGAGUGAGCCAAGGUAUUACAAGGCCAUGAAGCAUGUCUACCUCCUGGACGUGUCGCUGAAGCAGAUGGAGCCAGGGCACUGGAGGAGGUGGCAGUCGCAGAUGAGCUGGAGCAGCCGGGCGUAUUGGAUGUGGCC